GACGAACCGUGCGAACGUUGUUCGGAAUCACUGGGCUUAAAGGGCGCGUAGGCGGGUGCUCAAGUCCGUGGUGAAAUCCUCCGGCUCAACCGGAGAACUGCCUCGGAUACUGGGCGUCUCGAGUGUGGUAGGGGUAUGCGGAACUAUCGGUGGAGCGGUGAAAUGCGUUGAUAUCGAUAGGAACUCCGGUGGCGAAGGCGGCAUACUGGACCACCACUGACGCUGAUGCGCGAAAGCCAGGGGAGCAAACGGG
rnacentral:rRNA from 1 species